rnacentral:misc_RNA from 1 species
UGUGGGAGCGAGCCUGCUCGCGAUUGCGGUUGAUCAGCUAUCCAUUCAUUGGCUGACUUACCGCUAUCGCGAGCAGGCUCGCUCCCACA